rnacentral:rRNA from 1 species
CCUACGGGAGGCACCAGUGGGGAAUUUUGGACAAUGGGCGAAAGCCUGAUCCAGCAAUGCCGCGUGCAGGAUGAAGGCCCUCGGGUUGUAAACUGCUUUUGUACGGAACGAAAAGACUCUCUCUAAUAAAGAGGGUUGAUGACGGUACCGUAAGAAUAAGCACCGGCUAACUACGUGCCAGCAGCCGCGGUAAUACGUAGGGUGCGAGCGUUAAUCGGAAUUACUGGGCGUAAAGCGUGCGCAGGCGGUUAUGUAAGACAGAGGUUAAAUCCCCGGGCUCAACCUGGGAACGGCCUUUGUGACUGCAUGGCUAGAGUGCGGCAGAGGGGGAUGGAAUUCCGCGUGUAGCAGUGAAAUGCGUAGAUAUGCGGAGGAACACCGAUGGCGAAGGCGGCCCCCUGGACAAAGACUGACGCUCAGGUGCGAAAGCGUGGGGAGCAAACAGGAUUAGAUACCCCGGUAGUC